AAAUAAUUAAAAAACACAACAUCAUGUAUCUGGAACAGUUCCCCACCACUGUUCAUCACGUCUUUCCUCUCUUCCAUACAUCGUUCCUCGUGAUUCCUCCAAUUUUUGCCCACGCGUUCAUGUGCCCUUUUCUAUUGCUUUGUUGUCAAACAAUGGGACGCGUGGGUCUCGUUGCUUCUCCCCUCUCUCUCUUCGACUCGGUGUUCAUCCUUUCCACCGCUUCAACCUUGCUCUCACGGUUUCAUUCCCUUUUAACUUUCUUCUCUCACGGGUUCGUUGCCUUCUUUCCACCGCUUCAAUCGUCCUUCAACUGGCUGCAGGCUCCAUCAAACCCUAGAAUCGUUUUGCUUUUUUGGGCACCUUCCUUUUUCUCCCUGCUCUUUGCUUUCUCCAACCUAGAAUCCUCAUCCUUUCCCCGAAAGACAAAUCUUAAAUCCACAACCCAAAACUCAAUCAUAGUUGCCCAACGAAGGUAGAUUAAUUGAAGAAAGAUAACUCCAUGAGAGCGGGCAAGAUGGGUGGAUGAGUAUAAUCCAUGUAACUUGGUAGAGGUAAAUUGUAGUAAAGCAGGUUACCCUCUUCAUCUCUUCAAAUAAAAUUGGUUAUCUAUCAAUUUCCCUGAAAUUAUUUUUGGUUUCAUGUGUGUGUGUGUGUGUUUUUUUUUUUUUUUUAAGUUUACAGUGUGAUCUGUACGAUCACGCGAGCUUGGUGAAGGCGAUCGAGCAAGUCGACGGUAAUCCGCAAUAUUCCUUACCAUUUUUACCAUUUUAGAUUCUGGGUUCUGUUUGGGAAUCAAAUGUAUGGUUGUGUUGGUUUGUAAGAUUUUUAUGUUUUGAAUCAAUUAGUUUCUUUAUUGAAGUUGUUCGUAAUUCAUCUUUUCGAUAUCGUAUUAUUUUGACCAUAUUAUUUGCUUUAGUCUUGGUGCAUCAAUCUCACUGAUUACAGUCAGUUGCAGAUGAAGGUAGCGUUCACCAGAAAACAAAACAAGGAUUUGAAGUCCUCGGAUAGUCAAGUCCAACUGGAUCGAUCUGCGCUCAUAUGUUAAUUGAUUUUGUAGCGGAAUGAAGAUAGAUCCUAUCCGAAGUUUAUUACCUUUUGAGUUUAAUAAGAAGAUCAGAGUCCGUGGAUGCAGAAUUUGGAGACCUAAGGUUAUAGGAAAAGAUAAUAUGUUUGUCGGUCUUCAAUGUAUAUUGGUUGACGAAAUGGUAAGAAUUUGCUACAAAUAAUUUGCUAGGAAAAGAUAAUACGUUUGGCGGUCUUCAAAUAAUUUGCUACAACUACAUAAAAUUGUACAUUACAAAGUAGCAGACCUUUUUUGUAAUAUUGUGAACUUAUGCAAGCUCUGUGCAAACUUGGAAAGGUUUGUCCAGUUGAUUAGAAUUGUUUAAAAAGGGGUUGUUGCUGCUGUGCAGUAGAUGAGGUGGAAUUUGUUUCCCUGUAAGGUCAAAAUAUUUGAUUUUAUAAACACAGGCCAUGCUUGUAUAUGCAUUACAUAGUGAUUUAAUAAAUCUAUAGAAGUAUGAAAAUUAUUCUUUCAAAUUUCUGAUGGUAUAAUAUUUUAAAUUUUCUUCUUCAAUUGAUAAAUGCUUAAUGAAUAUGUUAGUAUCCGUUCAUGGUUUGGAUUCUUAUACUAUUUUAUUUGAAUACAAAAAUAUAUGCAGCUUUGUUGGUCUGGCUCAUUAUGUAAAAAUGUUGUCAACAUCAGCAAGGUAACUAAUAGGAUCAAAACAAUUAGAAAACGCUGACAAAAUGUCUGUUCAUGAUCUGAAUAUUUUGGAUCCAGAUUUGUACAAGGUAAACAAGCUUUUCUCAAUGUUUUAGAAAUCAGAUAUGUGCACCUGCUGUGAUACCAAUACGCAUCGUUUAUUGUUAAAUAAAUUAUAUUCCUCAUAUGAUAUAUGACAAAUUGGUUAAGUACAUAUCAUUCUUAGAUAUCCAUAUAUUAAUUACUGUCCAUAAAUAUAUUUCAAGGCGCUUCAGUCUUAUGUAAAGUAGUUGUUACGUUUUGACACGCAUGCUGGAUGGUGGUACAAAGCAUGUCCAUGCUGCUACAAACAACUUAGAAAGGAUGAAAAUAAUGACAUGCUAAUUUGUGUAAAGCACAAUGUUCAAACUCCCCUUCCUUGGUUUAAAGUAAAUUUAAUCCUCAAAGACGCCAACGAUGAGACCAGUGCUAUCAUCAUUGGUAAAUCGGCAGAACGUUUAUUUGGAACUUCAUAUUAUGAUUUAGUUUUCGAAAAAGGGUUUACUGAUCAAUAAGAGCUAUCAUAUGCAAUUCUCCAAUGACAAGGGCAGAUUAAAAUUUUUCAACUUCAAUUUGGAAAUUUGAAAAAUGAUUGCAACAGAAAUGAUCUUUUGAUCCAAGCGAUUUUUACGACAAAUUACAAGUUGUUCAAUCAAAUUCCAAAGCUUCUUAUGAAUCACUGGCUGAAUUUGAGGAGAAAGAUACGACAGCUCAUAAUUUUUCAUCUGCCCCACCACUUUUUGAUAAAGAGUUAAAACAUAUCUCUUGUCACCAUUUCACCCACUGUUGUCACACCAUGGCCUACAAAAAGUUCAAUUCGGAAGAGUCUUUUCAGCUCUAAGAAUAGAAAAAAACAAAAAAGGUAAGAGUUUUCACUGUAACAAUCUCAUUUGUAUCUAUAUUUUCAAAUAACAUGAUAUUUACUAAUGUAUUAAUCUCUCUUCUGUUUAUAUUGAUUUAAGGGAAAUUGAAAUUACCGAAGAAAUAGAUGAACAAAAUGCUGCGGACACUGAAGAUUUUCCCAUCAAAUAUCUCAAGAACAAGGUGUCUCCAAGCAAAUCUGAAGUAGUGUUUACUGCUUCCAAAACCCAAGCUGAAAAGACUCUUCCGAGUUGAACUUUUUGUAGGCAAUGGUGUGACAACAGCGGGUGAAAUGGUGGAAGAGAUAUGUUUUAACUCUUUAUCAAAAAGUGGUGGGGUAGAUGAAAAAUUCUGAGCUGUCGUAUCUUCCUCCUCAAAUUCAGCCAGUGAUUCAUAAGAAGCUUUGGAACUUGAUUGAAAAGCUUGUAUUUUGUUGUCGAAAAUCGCUUGGAUCAAAAGAUCAUUAUGUUGCAAUCAUUUUUCAAAUUUCCAAAUCGAAGCUGAAAAUUUUUAAUCUGCCCUUGACAUUGGAGAAUUGCAUAUGGUAGCUCUUGUUGAUCAAUAAACCUUUUUCGACAACUAAAUCAUAACAUGAAGUUCCAAAUAAGCAUUCAGCCGGUUUACCAAUGAUGAUAGCACUGGUCUCAUCGCUGGGUCUUCGAGGAUUAAAUUUACUUUGAACCUAAGUAUCUGAAGAACAAUAUUUAAG